CAGAGAUUUAUGUGGUAGAGCCAUCAAAUCAUAAUAUCCGGCUUUGAACAAUUACCCACACCAGAAGGAGGUCAGAACCCACCGUAAUGCGUGUUCUCAACUGCAAUGAAGUCAUUUCCAUCUCCGCUAUUGAAAAGAAUGAAGCCAUCAGCUGACGUGGUCUUGAACUGGAAGAAGAGAUGCAUGGAGAAUGACUCGUCCACUGAAGAAGGAACCUAGCACAUAAAAGAAUGACUGAAAGGCAUUUGAAUAACUGAAUAGCAGGAGGACCUGCAGUCUCCUGCAUUUACACUUCAGACACAUACUCUACACUAAGGAGAGUGAUUCAAAGACUAUGACUGCGAGCAAUAUAACCACAAAACUGCAAGUUACCCACAACGUACAUGUGUGUAUCACUGUACUCUGUGACCUGGCCAAACUCACUGAACAAGGUGGUUUUGCUCAUAUGCGGGAGGUAGAGAUUCCUUCCAUGUGCCAUAAAGCACAGUUUCCAAAAGCAGAUGCUCUGACUACGCAAGCUCUAGUUGAGAACUGAAGACACAGAUUUUGUAACCAAAGGAAACUGAGCUGAAGAGACUCACACCAGGACAUGCCCUAAAUGCAGCUGUUUUUC